rnacentral:rRNA from 1 species
GGACCUGACGGAGCAAGACCGCGUGGGGGAAGAAGGCUCUUGGGUUGUAAACCCCUUUUCUCUGGGAAGAAAGUUGUGAAAGCAACCUGACGGUACCAGAGGAAUCAGCAUCGGCUAACUCCGUGCCAGCAGCCGCGGUAAGACGGAGGAUGCAAGCGUUAUCCGGAAUGAUUGGGCGUAAAGCGUCCGCAGGUGGCAGUUCAAGUCUGCUGUCAAAGACCGGGGCUUAACUUCGGAAAGGCAGUGGAAACUGAACAGCUAGAGUAUGGUAGGGGCAGAGGGAAUUCCUGGUGUAGCGGUGAAAUGCGUAGAGAUCAGGAAGAACAUCGGUGGCGAAGGCGCUCUGCUGGACCAUAACUGACACUCAGGGACGAAAGCUAGGGGAGCGAAUGGGAUUAGAUACCCCAGUAGUCCUAGCCGUAAACGAUGGAUACUAAGUGUUGUCUGUAUCGACCCGGACAGUGCCGUAGCUAACGCGUUAAGUAUCCCGCCUGGGGAGUACGCACGCAAGUGUGAAACUCAAAGGAAUUGACGA